GAAUUCAACUCCUACGGGAGGCAGCAGUGGGGAAUAUUGGACAAUGGGCGAAAGCCUGAUCCAGCAACGCCGCGUGAUGGAUGACGGCCUUCGGGUUGUAAACCUCUUUCAGCAGGGACGAAGCGCAAGUGACGGUACCUGCAGAAGAAGCACCGGCCAACUACGUGCCAGCAGCCGCGGUAAUACGUAGGGUGCGAGCGUUGUCCGGAAUUAUUGGGCGUAAAGGGCUCGUAGGCGGUUUGUCGCGUCGGGAGUGAAAACUCAGGGCUUAACCCUGAGCCUGCUUCCGAUACGGGCAGACUAGAGGUAUGCAGGGGAGAACGGAAUUCCUGGUGUAGCGGUGAAAUGCGCAGAUAUCAGGAGGAACACCGGUGGCGAAGGCGGUUCUCUGGGCAUUACCUGACGCUGAGGAGCGAAAGUGUGGGGAGCGAACAGGAUUAGAAACCCCAGUAGUCCAGGCGUU
rnacentral:rRNA from 1 species